CGUGUAGGCGGCUCAUCAAGUCUGGUGUGAAAUCGCAAGGCUUAACCUUGCAUAUGCGCUGGAAACUGGUGGGCUUGAGUUCUUGAGGGGAAGCUGGAAUUCCAGGUGUAGGGGUGAAAUCUGUAGAUAUCUGGAAGAACACCGGUGGCGAAGGCGAGCUUCUAUCAGAGGACUGACGCUGAGGCGCGAAAGCGUGGGGAGCAAACAGGAUUAGAUACCCUGGUAGUCCACGCUGUAAACGAUGUGCACUAGGCGUGGGGCACGUACGUGCUCUGUGCCGUAGUUAACGUGAUAAGUGCACCGCCUGGGGAGUAUGCUCGCAAGGGUGAA
rnacentral:rRNA from 1 species